rnacentral:rRNA from 1 species
UGGCGAACGGGUGAGUAACACGUGAGUAACCUGCCCACAACUUUGGGAUAACGCUAGGAAACUGGUGCUAAUACUGGAUAUGUGCUCCUGCUGCAUGGUGGGGGUUGGAAAGCUCCGGCGGUUGUGGAUGGACUCGCGGCCUAUCAGCUUGUUGGUGGGGUAGUGGCCUACCAAGGCGGCGACGGGUAGCCGGCCUGAGAGGGUGGACGGCCACAUUGGGACUGAGAUACGGCCCAG